rnacentral:rRNA from 1 species
CUGUGCACGGUGACUAACGUUCAACGGCCGCGGUAUCCUAACCGUGCAAAGGUAGCAUAAUCACUUGCCCAUUAAUUGUGGGCUAGAAUGAAAGGACUAACGAAAUAAAAACUGUCUCUAUAAGACCAAUAAAAAUUAAUCUCUAACUGAAGAAUGUUAGAUACUAUCGAAGGACAAGAAGACCCUAUAGAGCUUUAUCCCUAUAAAAAAUAAAAUUUUAAUAAGAUUCGGUUGGGGCGACCGGGGAAAAAGUUAUCAUCCCCACUCACAAGAUAAAUAAAUCCCAUUUCUGACCCUUAAUAAAGAUCAUCAAACAAAGCUACCUUAGGGAUAACAGGCUAAUCCCGCUAAAGAGUCCUUAUCAAUAGCGGGGGUUGGCACCUCGAUGUUGGCUUAGGGAAUCUAUGUGGCGCAGAAGUCAUAUAAAGAUGGUUUGUUCAACCAACAAUACCCUACAUGAGCUGAGUUCAGACCGGCGUAAGCCAGGUUAGUUUCUAUCCUCGAUAACAAUAAACCUAUUUAUAGUACGAAAGGACCUAAAUACGGAUAAUAAUUAUAAAUAAUGAAUAAAUAUAACCCAUAAUAACAUAAAAAAUAUAUACACUAUA